AGUGAACGCUGGCGGUAGGCCUAACACAUGCAAGUCGAACGGCAGCACAGUAAGAGCUUGCUCUUACGGGUGGCGAGUGGCGGACGGGUGAGGAAUACAUCGGAAUCUACUUUUUCGUGGGGGAUAACGUAGGGAAACUUACGCUAAUACCGCAUACGACCUACGGGUGAAAGCAGGGGAUCUUCGGACCUUGCGCGAUUGAAUGAGCCGAUGUCGGAUUAGCUAGUUGGCGGGGUAACGGCCCACCAAGGCAACGAUCCGUAGCUGGUCUGAGAGGAUGAUCAGCCACACUGGAACUGAGACACGGUCCAGACUCCUACGGGAGGCAGCAGUGGGGAAUCUUGGACAAUGGGCGAAAGCCUGAUCCAGCCAUACCGCGUGAGUGAAGAAGGCCUUCGGGUUGUAAAGCCCUUUUGUUGGGAAAGAAAAGCAGCAGGUUAAUACCCCGCUGUUCUGACGGUACCCAAAGAAUAAGCCCCGGCUAACUUCGUG
rnacentral:rRNA from 1 species